rnacentral:rRNA from 1 species
GACGAACGCUGGCGGCGUGCUUAACACAUGCAAGUCGAACGAAAAGGGGGAAAGAGCUUGCUCUUUCCGGAAUUGAGUGGCAAACGGGUGAGUAACACGUAAACAACCUGCCUUCAGGAUGGGGACAACAGACGGAAACGACUGCUAAUACCGAAUAAGUUCCAAGAGCCGCAUGGCCCAUGGAAGAAAAGGUGGCCUCUACCUGUAAGCUAUCGCCUGAAGAGGGGUUUGCGUCUGAUUAGCUGGUUGGAGGGGUAACGGCCCACCAAGGCGACGAUCAGUAGCCGGUCUGAGAGGAUGAACGGCCACACUGGAACUGAGACACGGUCCAGACUCCUACGGGAGGCAGCAGUGGGGAAUCUUCCGCAAUGGGCGAAAGCCUGACGGAGCAACGCCGCGUGAGUGAUGACGGCCUUCGGGUUGUAAAACUCUGUGAUCCGGGACGAAAAGGCAGAGUGCGAAGAACAAACUGCAUUGACGGUACCGGAAAAGCAGGCCACGGCUAACUACGUG